rnacentral:rRNA from 1 species
AAUAUUGGACAAUGGGCGCAAGCCUGAUCCAGCCAUGCCGCGUGUGUGAAGAAGGNCUNNGGGUUNUNAAGCACUUUUGUACGNNNNNAAAAGCCAUUGGUUAAUACCCGGUGGUCCUGACGGUACCGUAAGAAUAAGCACCGGCUAACUUCGUGCCAGCAGCCGCGGUAAUACGAAGGGUGCAAGCGUUACUCGGAAUUACUGGGCGUAAAGCGUGCGUAGGUGGUUUGUUAAGUCUGAUGUGAAAGCCCUGGGCUCAACCUGGGAAUGGCAUUGGAUACUGGCAGUCUAGAGUGCGGUAGAGGGUAGCGGAAUUCCCGGUGUAGCAGUGAAAUGCGUAGAUAUCGGGAGGAACAUCCGUGGCGAAGGCGGCUACCUGGACCAGCACUGACACUGAGGCACGAAAGCGUGGGGAGCAAACAGG